CCUUCACCGGUAGAUGGCCUUCGCCGGUAGAUGGCCUUCGCCGGUAGGUGACCGUCACCGGUAGGUGACCUUCACCGGUAGAUGGCCUUCGCCGGUAGAUGGCCUUCGCCGGUAGAUGGCCUUCACCGGUAGGUGACCUUCACCGGUAGAUGACCUUCACGCAGAAGGUCUCCUCGUUCUUGUCCUCGUGGUCGUUGAUGUGGAUGAGCACCUCGCGCUCCCCAGCCC